rnacentral:rRNA from 1 species
AGUGAACGCUGGCGGUAGGCCUAACACAUGCCAGUCGAACGGCAGCACAGUAAGAGCUUGCUCUUACGGGUGGCGAGUGGCGGACGGGUGAGGAAUACAUCGGAAUCUACUUUUUCGUGGGGGAUAACGUAGGGAAACUUACGCUAAUACCGCAUACGACCUACGGGUGAAAGCAGGGGAUCUUCGGACCUUGCGCGAUUGAAUGAGCCGAUGUCGGAUUAGCUAGUUGGCGGGGUAAAGGCCCACCAAGGCGACGAUCCGUAGCUGGUCUGAGAGGAUGAUCAGCCACACUGGAACUGAGACACGGUCCAGACUCCUACGGGAGGCAGCAGUGGGGAAUAUUGGACAGUGGGCGCAAGCCUGAUCCAGCCAUACCGCGUGGGUGAAGAAGGCCUUCGGGUUGUAAAGCCCUUUUGUUGGGAAAGAAAAGCAGCAGGUUAAUACCCCGCUGUUCUGACGGUACCCAAAGAAUAAGCACCGGCUAACUUCGUG